rnacentral:rRNA from 1 species
UUGCGAACUCCUACGGGAGGCAGCAGUAGGGAAUCUUCGGCAAUGGGGGCAACCCUGACCGAGCAACGCCGCGUGAGUGAAGAAGGUUUUCGGAUCGUAAAGCUCUGUUGUAAGUCAAGAACGAGUGUGAGAGUGGAAAGUUCACACUGUGACGGUAGCUUACCAGAAAGGGACGGCUAACUACGUGCCAGCAGCCGCGGUAAUACGUAGGUCCCGAGCGUUGUCCGGAUUUAUUGGGCGUAAAGCGAGAGCAGGCGGUUUGAUAAGUCUGAAGUUAAAGGCUGUGGCUUAACCAUAGUACGCUUUUGAAACUGUUUAACUUGAGUGCAAGAGGGGAGUGUAGAAUUCCAUGUGUAGCGGUGAAAUGCGUAGAUAUAUGGAGGAACACCGGUGGCGAAAGCGGCUCUCUGGCUUGUAACUGACGCUGAGGCUCGAAAGCGUGGGGAGCAAACAGGAUUAGAUACCCUGGUAGUCCGA